AGCCCAAAUAAGAUAUUGAAAAUAAACAAAAAUUUCCCAUUUCGAAAAGGAUCCAAAUAUGUGACUCAGCCUUUUUUGUUCAUUACAUAUACCCUAAAAAAUAGGGUUUGUGUUUCCUACAAUCAAUCUACCAUAUCUACCAUAACCUGAAGAAAUAUUGUCUUAUCCGAUGGUGAAUCUGACCUUCCUCUUGAAGUUGUUGGGGAUUAUCAAAUCUGUGCCAUAGAUUUGUUGUGAAACAGCUCGCAUUUCAGCUAUCAAAAUGUUUUUGGUGCUUCAUUGAUGGGUUUGGACUCCUGAGAGUACAUCAACAUACAACUGCUACUGGAAAGGAGAUAACAAGAUGCUCAAAACCACAAUGAGAUGAAAUGUGUGUAUCUCUGCAGGUGUAUCAUUAGUAGAUUUAGUAAAAACCCUCUCUUACACUAUGAGUCCCUUUUGUUGGUUGUAGUAGAAUAGGAUAUAAAGCUUUGUACAACUUUAAUGAUUAUAAUUUUGAUAUUUGAUUUUUUUCUCAAGUUAAGCUUUAGCUUGGUAAGUCCUAUCACCCUCUCAAUGGUGGAAACUUUUAUGGACAUAACAUCUUAACACGAUUUAGAAUUCUUUUGCCUUUACUUUCUAGCUGUAUAAAACUUGUAAAAAAGAAUUGUUGUUUAUCUAUUGCCUAGUUUGCAAGGUUAUAUACCAACUGAUUGCCUUCUC